CAGCACCUCAAGUGGUCAGGAUGAUUAUUGGGCCUAAAGCAUCCGUAGCCGGCUCUGUAAGUUUUCGGUUAAAUCUGUAUGCUCAACAUACAGGCUGCCGGGAAUACUGCAGAGCUAGGGAGUGGGAGAGGUAGACGGUACUCGAUAGGAAGGGGUAAAAUCCUUUGAUCUAUUGAUGACCACCUGUGGCGAAGGCGGUCUACCAGAACACGUCCGACGGUGAGGGAUGAAAGCUGGGGGAGCAAACCGGAUUAGAUACCCGAGUAGUCC
rnacentral:rRNA from 1 species